GGAAGCUGGGGACAAACGGAGAAAGAAGAACCAGGGAGGCUUAGAAUCACUGGCCAGAGAGGGCAUUUGGUGACUCUGACAUGGGUCCAUCCUGUUUGGCCACUUUCUUGCCAAGUAUUGCCAUGUAGUAGGCCCUUGGUGACUUCUGUUUUCACCAGCAGCUACGUUCCCUCCUUUCUGUUCUAACCUAAAGACCACAGGCAGACAUCCUGGGCCACAAGAGGGUCCCAGACGGCCCUUCCCAUGGGCUCAAGCUUGAUGACUUGAGUGAAGUUCAGCACCCUUGUGACUACUGGGCACUGGUGACCAGGAGGAGCUGGAUUACUCAUCUGCGUGCCUGCUGGGCAGACACAGGAAGUGAGGACACACCUUUUGUUCCCUCCAGAGGAUGCAGCAACAAGGAGAGACCAGGACCCUCAGCAGACACUGAGCUCGACAGGGCCUUGAUCUUGGACUUGAGAUGGAGUUUCACUCAUCGCCCAGACUGGAACGCAAUGGUGCCAUCUCAGCUCACUGCAACCUCUGCCUCGCGGUUCAAUCAAUUCUCCUGCCUCAGCCUCCUGAGUAGCUGGGAUUACAGGCACUCACCACCAUUCCUGGCUAAUUUUUGUAUUUUUAGUAGAUAUGGUGUUUCGCCAAGUUGGCCAGGCUGGUCUCAGGUGUUUUGCCGAGUUAGCCAGGCUGGUCUCAAACUUCUGACCUCAAGUGAUCUGCCCUCCUAG
rnacentral:lncRNA from 1 species